CUAACACACAGCUGCAAUCGACGAAUAUGAACGAACAACAGGUACCUGUUCCUGCUAGAACGCCCAACGAAGCUGACGAAGACGUUCAUUCUAGCGCCAACUCCGGCUCAGCUGAGCAAUGCGCACCAGUAGCAGCAGUAACAGCGGUUCAAACAAUUCAUCUGGUGGUCUGCAAACUAACGUCGGCGGUAAUCGGGACGACGCAACAAUCGACCAUAAUCGCUAAUGCCAUCCGCACUGCCAACACCCACGUCAUAUUUGAUUGAUGAAUUUCAGAGUCCACAUAUUUCGCCAACUAUCAAAACAAAAAAUGUCUUCAAGAGGGUCAAACCGGAUGAUAUGGAUAAUGUGCUAAAGCAGGUGAAUUUCGAGAAGAAAUUCAAAACACUACCCCAGUCCAAACCAUAGGACUGCCAGUCGCCCAGUGCAAUCUUAGUACCAUCGUCUCCCCGAGUGUUCACUCAAAAUUACCCUGUGGACGUCUUCAGCACCAGAAACCUCAGCAAUAGCAGCAGCAGCUACAGCAUCAUCCAUCACCGCACCUCACAUCGGAUAGCAGAGCACCACUAUCCUCUACAGUAGCGCUAUCCAGUUCCUACCUCAAGCUACAUCAACAUGGAACAGUACAAAGUUUUCUGUCUUAGACAUGUCCGGCAGACAAUGCAAACCGCUCGCCUCGGACGCCCAAAACGCCGUCUACUCGGUCGGUUAAAUUCUCCGAGAAGGGUCACCGACAGAUUUUCGAUCAACGACGUAAUCUAGUGCAGCAACUGGCAAAGAACAUGACAUGUUCCCAUUAACUCAGGCGACCAAUAACAUUCUGCUGGCCCACAGCGACAUCUUCACAAACAAGCAAAACUUGCAGUUAAAGAUCUGCGAGUUCCGAGAAAAGUCAUGGGCCAACGGUCCUGCUUUACGCCGCAUGCGGGCGGGAUGAUAACGCCAACCGAUCUUGGUGCUGAUAAGUGCAAGAGUAUAUAGAUAGCUAUACGCUGCUAUCCGUUCCGGAUGUUAUUUCUUUUUUGUUAUUCAUGGCUGAAUCUUAAAAAUCUCAGCACCAAGACGCUGAAUCAUAUCUUUUGUUUAUUCUGAUGCUCUUCAUGAAUUGUAUAAUGCGAGAAAAAAUUGAAGGCUGACUAUAAAAAAUCUUGAUAGGAACAAAAUACUGACUAGAUCGGCACUAAAAGAUGCUGUUCAACUAAUUUUCAGUAGUUAUG